AGCGGUGCAGUUGUUAGCUACACUGCAUUAUUAUGCUGUUGGAAGUUUUAUGGAGGUGGUGGGUGAUGGCCUGGGGCUCAGCAAAUCUUCAGUCAGCAAAACUGUGACAGCAGUAACACCUUUGCUGUUACAGCUUAUGAAGAACAUCCUGAUUUCCCCCCAAACUCAUGAAGAAAUCCAGCUGGCCAAUCAACAGUUCUACAGUAUUGACAACAUCCCCAGAGUGAUUGGCAUCAUCGAUGGCACCGUUAUCCCAGUGUCAAGCCCUGUGAAAGCAGUGUGUGA